GACGAACGCUGGCGGCGUGCCUAAUACAUGCAAGUCGAACGGACCUUGCUUUAACGGAUUGGAGUACUUGUACAAAGAGAAGAUAGAGCGCUGGUUAGUGGCGAACGGGUGAGUAACACGUAGGUAACCUGGCAAUAAGACGAGGACAACUAUUGGAAACGAUAGCUAAUACUGGAUGUGGUGUGAGGAAGGCAUCUUCUUCAUAUUAAAGGAGCUACGGCUUCACUUAUUGAUGGACCUGCGGCGCAUUAGCUAGUUGGUAAGGUAGAGGCUUACCAAGACAAUGAUGCAUAGCCGAGUUGAGAGACUGACCGGCCACAUUGGGACUGAGACACGGCCCAAACUCCUACGGGAGGCUGCAGUAGGGAAUCUUCCACAAUGGGCGCAAGCCUGAUGGAGCAACGCCGCGUGUGUGAUGAAGGCUUUCGGGUCGUAAAGCACUGUUGUAUGGGAAGAACGGGUUUAAGAGGAAAUGCUUAAGCAGUGACGGUACCAUACCAGAAAGGGACGGCUAAAUACGUGCCAGCCGCCG
rnacentral:rRNA from 1 species